CUUNNNGGGGYGSUGCCAGUAGGGAAUCUUCCGCAAUGGACGAAAGUCUGACGGAGCAACGCCGCGUGAGUGAUGAAGGUUUUCGGAUCGUAAAGCUCUGUUGUUAGGGAAGAACAAGUACCGUUCGAAUAGGGCGGUACCUUGACGGUACCUAACCAGAAAGCCACGGCUAACUACGUGCCAGCAGCCGCGGUAAUACGUAGGUGGCAAGCGUUGUCCGGAAUUAUUGGGCGUAAAGGGCUCGCAGGCGGUUUCUUAAGUCUGAUGUGAAAGCCCCCGGCUCAACCGGGGAGGGUCAUUGGAAACUGGGGAACUUGAGUGCAGAAGAGGAGAGUGGAAUUCCACGUGUAGCGGUGAAAUGCGUAGAGAUGUGGAGGAACACCAGUGGCGAAGGCGACUCUCUGGUCUGUAACUGACGCUGAGGAGCGAAAGCGUGGGGAGCGAACAGGAUUAGAUACCCCC
rnacentral:rRNA from 1 species